rnacentral:rRNA from 1 species
AGAGUUUGAUCCUGGCUCAGGAUGAACGCUAGCGGGAGGCUUAACACAUGCAAGUCGAGGGGCAGCAUUUCUAGCUUGCUAGAAGAUGGCGACCGGCGGACGGGUGCGUAACGCGUAUGCAACUUGCCUAUAACUUAGGGAUAACUUGGAGAAAUCCUUGCUAAUAUCUAAUGUGAUCAAAAAUUCGCAUGUUUUUUUGAUUAAAGAAUUUCGGUUAUAGAUAGGCAUGCGUCCUAUUAGCUAGUUGGUAAGGUAAAGGCUUACCAAGGCGACGAUAGGUAGGGGGCCUGAGAGGGUGAUCCCCCACACUGGUACUGAGACACGGACCAGACUCCUACGGGAGGCAGCAGUGAGGAAUAUUGGUCAAUGGAGGCAACUCUGAACCAGCCAUCCCGCGUGAAGGAUUGAAGGCGCUCGACGUCGUAAACUUCUUUUAUAUAGGAAUAAACUUAGGUACGUGUACUUAAUUGAAUGUACUAUAUGAAUAAGCAUCGGCUAACUCCGUGCCAGCAGCCGCGGUAAUACGGAGGGUGCAAGCGUUAUCCGGAUUUAUUAGGUUUAAAGGGUUCGCAGGCGGAAUUUUAAGUCAGUGGUGAAAGCCUAUAGCUCAACUAUAGAACUGCCAUUGAUACUGAUAUUCUUGAGUAUAGAUGAAGUGGGCGGAAUAUGUCAUGUAGCGGUGAAAUGCAUAGAUAUGACAUGGAACACCAAUUGCGAAGGCAGCUCACUAAACUAUUACUGACGCUCAUGAACGAAAGCGUGGGGAGCGAACAGGAUUAGAUACCCUGGUAGUCCACGCCGUAAACUAUGAUCACUAGAUGUUGGCGAUAUAUUGUCAGUGUUUUAGAGAAAUCGUUAAGUGAUCCACCUGGGGAGUACGUUCGCAAGAAUGAAACUCAAAGGAAUUGACGGGGGCCCGCACAAGCGGAGGAGCAUGUGGUUUAAUUCGAUGAUACGCGAGGAACCUUACCAAGACUUAAAUGUAUUUUGCUAGAUUGAGAAAUCAAUUUUUCUUCGGACAAUUUACAAGGUGCUGCAUGGUUGUCGUCAGCUCGUGCCGUGAGGUGUCGGGUUAAGUCCCAUAACGAGCGCAACCCCUAUUUCUAGUUACCAGCGAGUAAUGUCGGGAACUCUAGAGAGACUGCCUGUGUAAACAGUGAGGAAGGUGGGGAUGAUGUCAAAUCAUCACGGCCCUUAUGUCUUGGGCUACACACGUGCUACAAUGGUCACUACAGUGGGCUGCCAUCUGGUGACAGAGAGCAAAUCCAUAAAGGUGAUCCCAGUUCGGAUCGGAGUCUGCAACUCGACUCUGUGAAGUUGGAUUCGCUAGUAAUCGUAUAUCAGCAAUGAUACGGUGAAUACGUUCCCGGGCCUUGUACACACCGCCCGUCAAGCCAUGGAAGUUUGUAGUGCCUGAAGUCAGUAACCGCAAGGAUCUGCCUAGGGUAAGACAGAUAACUAGGGCUAAGUCGUAACAAGGUAACC